UGAUAGCUUACAUACCGAUAGCAGCGCCACCUACCGGGUCCGAUUGAGAUAAAAACUACCCUAUCUCCCAAGUUGGACCAAAUUAUAGAUGCGUACAAAAUUUGAUAAAAAUUGGUUCAGUAGUUUCGGAGUUACAUACCAAUAGCAGCGCCACCUAUCGGGUCCAAUUGAAAUAAAAACUACCCUAUCUCCCAAGUUGGACCAAAUUACAGAUGCU
rnacentral:misc_RNA from 1 species